rnacentral:rRNA from 1 species
AACGAACGCUGGCGGCAUGCCUAACACAUGCAAGUCGAACGAGACCUUCGGGUCGUAGUGGCGCACGGAUGCGUAACGCGUGGGAAUCUGCCCUUGGGUUCGGAAUAACUCAGAGAAAUUUGAGCUAAUACCGGAUGAUGACGUAAGUCCAAAGAUUAUCGCCCAAGGAUGAGCCCGCGUAGGAUAGCUAGUUGGUGAGGUAAAGGCUCACCAAGCGACGAUCCUUAGCUGGUCUGAGAGGAUGAUCAGCCACACUGGGACUGAGACACGGCCCAGACUCCUACGGGAGGCAGCAGUGGGGAAUAUUGGACAAUGGGCGAAAGCCUGAUCCAGCAAUGCCGCGUGAGUGAUGAAGGCCUUAGGGGUUGUAAAGCUCUUUUACCCGGGGAUGAUAAUGACAGUACCGGAGAAUAA